AACACAUGCAAGUCGAGCGGAAACGACACUAACGAUCCUUCGGGUGCGUUAAUGGGCGUCGAGCGGCGGACGGGUGAGUAAUGCCUAGGAAAUUGCCUUGAUGUGGGGGAUAACCAUUGGAAACGAUGGCUAAUACCGCAUAAUGCCUACGGGCCAAAGAGGGGGACCUUCGGGCCUCUCGCGUCAAGAUAUGCCUAGGUGGGAUUAGCUAGUUGGUGAGGUAAUGGCUCACCAAGGCGACGAUCCCUAGCUGGUCUGAGAGGAUGAUCAGCCACACUGGAACUGAGACACGGUCCAGACUCCUACGGGAGGCAGCAGUGGGGAAUAUUGCACAAUGGGCGAAAGCCUGAUGCAGCCAUGCCGCGUGUAUGAAGAAGGCCUUCGGGUUGUAAAGUACUUUCAGUUGUGAGGAAGGGGGUAGCGUUAAUAGCGNCUGUAUUGGACGUUAGCAACAGAAGAAGCACC
rnacentral:rRNA from 1 species